AAAAAGACAAAUCCUGGUUUUUCGUGUCCAACUUUAACUGUCCGUCUUAUAUGAAAUUUUUUUAUAAUUCGUAUUUUUAUUGUUGUUAGAUGAUAAAACAUGAUUAAUAUUUUAUGCGUGACUUGUCUUUUUAAUUUUUUUCAUAUUUUUUUCAAAUAAGACGGACGGUCAAACGUUGGACACAAAAACUAGGGUUUGUCUUUUU
rfam:Oryza sativa (indica cultivar-group) chromosome 2, whole genome shotgun sequence.